CGGGGGGGCAAGCGUUGUUCGGAAUUACUGGGCGUAAAGGGCUCGUAGGCGGCCAACUAAGUCGGACGUGAAAUCCCCAGGCUCAACCUGGGAACUGCGUCCGAUACUGGAUGGCUUGAAUCCGGGAGAGGGAUGCAGAAUUCCAGGUGUAGCGGUGAAAUGCGUAGAUAUCUGGAGGAACACCGGUGGCGAAGGCGGCAUCCUGGACCGGCAUUGACGCUGUGGAGCGAAAGCCAGGGGAGCAAACGGGAUUAGAUACCCCGGUAGUCCUGGCCCUAAACGAUGAAUGCUUGGUGUAACGGGUAUCGAUCCCUGUUGUGCCGAAGCUAACGCAUUAAGCAUUCCGCCUGGGGAGUACGGUCGCAAGGCUG
rnacentral:rRNA from 1 species